CCAAUAGCGUAUAUUAAAGUUGCUGCAGUUAAAAAGCUCGUAGUUGAAUUUCGGGACCGAUAUAUCGGUCGUGCCUCGGUACGUACUGGUAUCUUCGGUUUCUCCCUUCUGACGAACCUUGAUGUCAUUAAUUUGGUGUCUUGGGGAAUCAGGACUGUUACUUUGAAAAAAUUAGAGUGUUUAAAGCAGGCUCACGCUUG
rnacentral:rRNA from 1 species